UGGGGAAUAUUGCACAAUGGGCGCAAGCCUGAUGCAGCCAUGCCGCGUGUAUGAAGAAGGCCUUCGGGUUGUAAAUUACUUUUAGCGGGGAGGAAGGGAGUAAAGUUAAUACCUUUGCUCAUUGACGUUACCCGCAGAAGAAGCACCGGCUAACUCCGUGCCAGCAGCCGCGGUAAUACGGAGGGUGCAAGCGUUAAUCGGAAUUACUGGGCGUAAAGCGCACGCAGGCGGUUUGUUAAGUCAGAUGUGAAAUCCCCGGGCUCAACCUGGGAACUGCAUCUGAUACUGGCAAGCUUGAGUCUCGUAGAGGGAGGUAGAAUUCCAGGUGUAGCGGUGAAAUGCGUAGAGAUCUGGAGGAAUACCGGUGGCGAAGGCGGCCCCCUGGACGAAGACUGACGCACAGGUGCGAAAGCGGGAGGAGCAAACAGG
rnacentral:rRNA from 1 species